ACAAGCUUAGCAGAUCAGUGAUCAGUGCUUAAUACGUAAAGAUUAAUUAUGAUGACAGGCACAAACAUGAAUAUCUACGAUUUCAGCAAACUUAAUACCAAAAAUCAACAUCACAACACAUUUAAGCCGAUUACAAGAAAAGCUUUUGUGGCAGUUUCCAAACAAAACUAACAAUAAAAGACAUCUUUGUUCCAGCAAUAAUUUUCUCAGAAAACAAUGAAAUGAGUUGAAAAAUGGUUAAGGCGUACCAGGAGCCUUCAAGUGAUGCUGCACUGUGUGCGCACAGUUUAAGCUGCAAGAUGAAAAUCGUCUCAUUUAACGCAAUUUUACACUCCAUUUUGUAUGGCUUAGAAGGGAGCUUAUUAAUACGCUACAAUGGAGCUAAAAGACAAAAUUAUUUAUGUGACAGUCAAGUGGCUGUUCUGUGACUCACUGACGUUUUCUCAACAUUAAAGCUUGUAUUAAAAUGUACUACGAGUACAUUUUUUAUUGAAGUGUCAAUGUAUUCAUUAGUUAACCUGGUACAGGCACCAUAUAAUAAAGGCAACAUCUAAUAAAUAGUGUGAAAUCAUUGGUCCAUGUGCAAGACAACAACGUUCGCAGAGUUAAGAGCAUACAUUGAGUACAUAUCGAAUAUUUCUACAAAAUGAGUUCUAUUGGCCACUUCUUCAUUUCUGGAGAGAGAAAACACAUUGAAAUAUUGACCU